GUUGGCAAUAUAUUUAUUGCAUGCGUUGUUAAAAUCCGGAUUUCAUAUACUGUCGUGGAAGAAUAUUUUCUCUAGAGUAUCCGUGUAACUGUAUGACUAUUUUUCUCUUCUCUGAACCAGAUUAUAUGGAUAAUCUGUAAGUAAAACAUUCUCAAUGAAUAAAUACAUAUAAAGAGAUUCUAAUGAAAUCAAAGUUAUUCCUAAACUGUGCACCAAACGAUUCGUGUCGUAAGUAAAUUUGAAGAAGUAUAGUUAUUAGGAAUACAGAUAAUUUAAUUUGGCGUUCAUAAAGAUUAUUCCUUGAGAACACCAUAGCGUUGACAAAUCCAGACUUAUUGGUAGAUAACAGCGCAUUCAGCUCAGACAUUUCAUAAAAUUUGUAGAUUUCAUCAUUGUGCGUAUCAAAUGCCAAUCAAAUCGUGAUUUGUGAUAAAGUGCAUACCAAAUUGUUUGGCAAUAAUGGUGCUGUGUAACGCUCAGAAGUCGCCACACCCAAAAAUCGUCCAGCAGAGCGUUGUAAGUUCCGCAUUAUUUAGCAGGUUCUGAGUGCCUAUCAGAUAUGCUUAUAAUUCUUUCUAGCGUGCGAGAAAAUAAGAAAGAAUUUACGAUCGAGUGGAUUAACGGAUAUUACUGGCACUCCCAUCUACUACUUUUGGCUUUAUACCCCUAAAAAAAUCGUAAUUUUUGCAAUGGCGUUUUGUUUGACAAACGUUUUGUUUUAACUUUAUCAGAUUGCUUCUUAACGGACACAUUUAUAGAAGUAAAAUUAUCAUUCUCUUCAGGUCCAAAAGGAAUUAAGUUUCCCUUCACAAUAUUGGUUUGAUUGCAUUAGACAGUGAUGUGGAUUACGCUUACGACCUGUAUCCAGUGUGUUUAUACACAUCCCAAUUGAAUCCAAAGAUCUUGAAAAAUAGAUACUCAGAAGUUCAGAUUGUGGCGGAUACAGAAUGUGGAAAAAAGUACACUUCAACUGAGGUAUGUGUAAGGAACUUAAAACAUGGUAGUGUUUCCUCUGGCGAGCCGAUAUAUGUAGAAGAGACAGAAUUCCCCAUAUAUAAGUUGUUUGGACUUGUUGGAAAAAAAUCUUACGAUCGUAAACCCUAUUGGAUAGGAAAAGUUUUGAUCACUUGGACUUUAUUGAAAGCAUUGUAUGGUCGUAGAAUGAUUAUUGAUUUGUUGUUUUGUAAAAAAACAUUUUCCAAAAUAUGAUAAACUAAUAAAU